GCAAGCUACCGCUUCUUGAUGAGCCCGCGGCNUAUCAGCUAGUUGGUGAGGUAAAGGCUCACCAAGGCGAUGACGGGUAGCUGGUCUGAGAGGACGACCAGCCACACUGGAACUGAGAGACGGUCCAGACACCUACGGGUGGCAGCAGUCGAGAAUUUUUCUCAAUGGGGGCAACCCUGAAGGAGCGACGCCGCGUGGAGGAUGAAGGUCUUCGGAUUGUAAACUCCUGUCAUUAGGGAACAAUUGUCAUGGGAAUAACUGCCCGUGGCUUGAUAGUACCUGAAGAGGAAGAGACGGCUAACUCUGUGCCAGCAGCCGCGGUAAUACAGAGGUCUCAAGCGUUGUUCGGAUUCAUUGGGCGUAAAGGGUGCGUAGGUGGCGGGGCCAGUCAGGUGUGAAAUCCCGGGGCUUAACCCUGGAACUGCAUUUGAUACUGCCUUGCUAGAGAACUGGAGAGGAGACUGGAAUUUACGGUGUAGCAGUGAAAUGCGUAGAGAUCGUAAGGAAGACCAGUGGCGAAGGCGAGUCUCUGGACAGUUACUGACACUGAGGCACGAAGG
rnacentral:rRNA from 1 species